GGGGUUACGAUUCGGACCUAGUCUGAAGGCGACGACCGGCGCACGGGUGAGUAACGCGUACACGACCUACCUCAUACUGAGGGAUAGCCCUGGGAAACUGGGAUUAAUACCUCAUAGUACUAACAAAUUGCGAUUUAUUAGUUAAAGUUCCGGCGGUAUGAGAUGGGUGUGCGUUAGAUUAGCUAGUUGGUAAGGUAACGGCUUACCAAGGCGACGAUCUAUAGGGGGCGUGAGAGCGUGGACCCCCACACGGGUACUGAGACACGGACCCGACUCCUACGGGAGGCAGCAGUAAGGAAUAUUGGACAAUGGGGGCAACCCUGAUCCAGCCAUCCCGCGUGCAGGAAGACGGCCCUAUGGGUUGUAAACUGCUUUUAUAAGGGAAGAAAAUUAGUCAUUUAUGAUUAACUGACGGUACCUUAAGAAUAAGCACCGGCUAACUCCGUGCCAGCAGCCGCGGUAAUACGGAGGGUGCAAGCGUUAUCCGGAAUCACUGGGUUUAAAGGGUGCGUAGGCGGAUAAAUAAGUCAGAGGUGAAAGCUCUGAGCUCAACUGAGGAAUUGCCUUUGAUACUGUUUAUCUUGAAUUGUGUUGAGGUUAGCGGAAUGAGUCGUGUAGCGGUGAAAUGCAUAGAUAUGACUUAG
rnacentral:rRNA from 1 species